rnacentral:lncRNA from 1 species
UUUCGUCUGAUCCCCGAUGCGUGUGUGCGUGUGGGAAGUGUUCGUGCGCCACCAUGCCGCCCCGAUUCACCAGAUCUCGUCAUCCUCCUCUUCCAGAUCCUCCAUAGUCCCGUCCAUGGUCAUCUGCCCCUCUGCGUCCUACAACCGCCUCGAGGAUAGGAUUUACCCUGGAGGCAGGGGAACCUUGCGCACGCGACGCCUGUGUCGUUGUUGCUGGUCGGACGGUGGUCAGAUCCGCCAUGGCCACAACCGGCGUCCUCUCCCUCCUUAUCCAGCUUCCUCCCAUGACUGAGAAGAGGGCUUCAUCAAGGAUCCCACGACGAAGGUAGCUUCCUCCCAUCCCAGAUCGACCAUCCGUCAAUGGAGGCCAUGAUAACAGCGUGGGCACACACAUGGCUGCGCUUCAAGGUCAUCCCUCACCCUUCUUUUCUCUUUGAUUUGAUUUGAUCUCAUUCCCUAAUUUUCCUCCCAGCGUAGCUGCAGCUCGGUAGAUGCAGGCACGUCACCAUGGGGCAAGUCAAGGUCUUCCUUCUCCUCCCAUUUCAUCCGAUCCGCCAGAGCCAGCAAUCCCCGGCGCCCUGCACCACAGCGAUGGUAAGACCAUGACCCCGUCCUUCGUCCUUGCAACAUUUUAUUCCCCCGUUCCUAGGUAGCAAAUGGGUAAAUUAGUAUGCCAUUAGUUCUGUUUUAACUAUUUCUCACAUUAUCAGGCUAGUGAAAAACUAGCUUACCCCUUGGCUAUUUAUGCAUACAUAUUUGGCAACGAAUCAGCACUUGAACCCCAGCGCGCGUUGUCUGCCCAUAAUACAGCUAACUGUCGUAUCACCAGUUGCUUGGACAUUGCUCUCAAGCGAUUCUUCUCGAUGUCUUGCGCCGACGUUCGCCUCGGUGCCGUGCGCCGCCCGUUGGACGUCUUGCACUACUAAUUGCAUGCACGUAGUGUGCCGUGGAUUGUCCGCUAUUGAAAUAUUUUUAUUCACUGGGCUUCUUAUGUGAUUCCGGAACUCGCAAGAACUUUUAUCCAGUAUGAUUUGCAUGUGACAUAUAAACUCACAAGUACUUUUAUUCAGUGUGCUUAUGUCAGAUGUGAACUCACACUUUCAAUUAGCUAGGAACCCAAAAUUAUUCAGUGAGGCAUUAUUUGGUGAUGUACUCGUUGCAUUCACAUGGAUUUAAAUUUUGGAGUCGCUUCCCAGUUCAUCAAACUGCAUGUGUAGUUCAGCUUCACCAACACUCUCAUAGAUGGAUGGUCCAGGCCCGAUUUUUUUGUUUCAGCUGUAACAAAUUCAUUAACGGAGCUAAAUUUCAACUCUUUUUUCCAUGGUUUUGGGUUGGUCCUUCUUAGGAAAAAUUGAUCCAUUGGCUUGGUCCAAUUUAUAUAGAGCUUUCCAUGCCUAAGAAUGAGAAAAUCUUGCUGCCAAUCUGAUGCCACAAUUAGCAUCUUUUUUAUGGUUAUAUUAUGUGUGUGACUGAACAUUGAACCUUUGACCUUUGCUUUUGUAAAACCUGACUUUCUUCUGUUGUGAAUGGAGUGUUUCCUUGCUGUGCUGCAUAAGUAGUUCAUUCAUCGCUCAUUUGACAUGUGCAGGCAAUGUGUACAUGCUGCAUUUAGAUUCCAGCCCAACUAGAUUUUAGUUGAAGCGUUUUAGACCAAGCCAUCUUGGUUUGCUGCAUUUUUGCCUUAUUAGCUUUUUAUUCUUCUUUAGGUUUUGAAGAGGGUUUGUGUAGGACAACCAUGAAGAAAAGUACAAACAUGCUACCUGCGCAAGAGGGUAAUGAUCUCGAUACGCUUACCAUUUUGAUAAGGACAUAUUCAUAAUGUCAAUGCUUGUUGGAUGCUAGUCCUACUAGGUAGUAUAGCAAAUUCCUUGCAUGUCUUCAGAACAUUCAAGAGCUCUUUUGUCCUAAAAAAAACAAGCUUUUAUGUUUCCCCCUUACACAAAAUAUUCAUAUUUCUCACUUUGUACCUCAUAGCGCAUAGGUCACUAGAUACCUCUUCUUGUUAUUUUUUGGUUGAGAAAAAAAUAUUGCAAUUUAUGUCUUAUAUUUUCUUUCAACUUAACACACAUGAUACAUUGACUAUUUUUUGACUUUGGUGCAUUUCGCAUUAAGUGGCCUUUUUUAUCAACCUAUAGAACCAAACCAUGGAACUGAUUUGAUCUUUAUUGUUAGUGCAUGUGUGUAUUAUGAAAAUUAAGAAAGGGAAAGAAUAUAUGGACCAGGAUCUUUAUCAUCCAUUAUCAUGGUUUCGUUUCUUUUACCGUUUGAUAAUUCAUACAUGAUGUUAUGUUAUCCUGAAUGUUGUUGGUUGCUAGAUUGUGUUGCAUUGGUGUUGCAUCAGCGUCACACUAAAAAUACCAUUAUUUGAAGCUUUUUAAGGGUUUAUUUGAAGCUGACAUGCGUGGUUCACUUUACUUUAUGUACAGUUUUAUGUAUGGAUGAAAAGCCAUGCUUAAAUCCAUACUUUCAAUUUUUUAGUCAGUCUUACAGUUUGUACAUGUGCAGGCAGGAGCAUGGGUUGAGGCAAUAUGGUGGCUUCUUUUGAUGAUGGUGGUGGGGAUGGUUGGAUCUGCGUCCAGGAAGGCAUGGAAAUGGCCCCUCGUUGAUGUCUGUUGAGCGCUGGGCAGUGGUGGCUGCAAAGUAGCAUCGGGUGUUCUCCAACACUUGUUUGUAGAAUGAAGUUUCUUGUGUUUUGCUCCUCCACAUGCGUAUCGUGUGGAAAUGUCUGUAAUUUUACUUUUAUGGUGUUUUUUAUUUUAAAUGUAGUGUUAUUUUCUCAAGACUUCCUUUUAUUUUAUUACAUAGCAUGUAUUUUGUGGAAAAAAUUAUUGGCUUAAAAUAGAAAAAACAUGGACCAGAUAAAUGCGAGAUGGGCUAAUCUUUUGGGCUGAAAUUAUG